rnacentral:rRNA from 1 species
UGGGGAAUAUUGCACAAUGGGCGCAAGCCUGAUGCAGCCAUGCCGCGUGUAUGAAGAAGGCCUUCGGGUUGUAAAGUACUUUCAGUCGGGAGGAAGGUGGUAAGGUUAAUAACCUUGGCAAUUGACGUUACCGACAGAAGAAGCACCGGCUAACUCCGUGCCAGCAGCCGCGGUAAUACGGAGGGUGCAAGCGUUAAUCGGAAUUACUGGGCGUAAAGCGCACGCAGGCGGUUGAUUGAGUCAGAUGUGAAAUCCCCGGGCUUAACCCGGGAAUUGCAUCUGAUAAUGGUCAGCUAGAGUCUUGUAGAGGGGGGUAGAAUUCCAUGUGUAGCGGUGAAAUGCGUAGAGAUGUGGAGGAAUACCGGUGGCGAAGGCGGCCCCCUGUGCAAAGACUGACGCUCAGGUGCGAAAGCGUGGGGAGCAAACAGG